AGGGCUGUAGCUCAGUUGUAGAGUAUUUGCUUUGCAUGUGCCAAGUUCUGGGUUCAAUCCCAGUAGCCCCU
rnacentral:tRNA from 1 species